rnacentral:lncRNA from 1 species
CACCCAGACUGACUCUCUAGACUUUACUACGUUCACCACACCGCCUAUCACGGUGGGAAGCAGCAAGUGAGCCGACGGUAUGUCUCUUUAAGUUAUAAGCUCUCAAUAUCAUUAACAUAAAGACCAUGAAGGACAAAAUCAAAGUAAGGAUUAGUUUAGAACAAAAUAAUAAAAACAUAAAGCAAGACAAAAAAGAAUGAUUAUGGACACUAUAACCACCACUCAAACAGUCUCAUGAGACUUGACAACAUUGACCACACCACUUAUGAUAGUCGCCAAUCAGUGAGGCAAGAAAAAACCCAUUGGAAAGACUAACCAAAUUAGAAUUUGUCUUGACUAGCACGGACAAUAGUAGCCCCAAAAUGCAGUAGAUAGCAAACAAUAAUGCAUUAAUGAUAGUCAAAACAUGAGGAUUAGUAUUACACUACCAACACAAGAACAAUAUGGUCACAUGUAUGUGUGUUGCAACCGAAUAUGCCAACUCAUUUUCUAGAGGAUUAUAAUCUAUGCCACUCUCUCCAUUAGGUUUUUACUUAAUACAUGAUGUAAUAAACCAUUAAAUAAUUAUUGAAUUGUUGAAUGUUGAGUGUUGGUUACAUUAGUAUGUUGAUUGAUAUGAUGAAUGUUAAGUAAUGUAUUGGAACUGACAGACCCAAACAAGAGAGUGAGAGAGGGGAAAGCUCGGGGAUGG